GGGAAGCAGUGGAGGCCGAGCAGGGAGAACGCGGAAGGGGAGUGAAGAGGAGUGAGGAGGAAGCUGCUCCUACCGCCAAGGAAGGGAGAAUGGAAGGGAAGGGAAGAAACAGAGAGAGACACAUCGAUGUGAGAGAAAUACAUCAGUUGGCUGCCUUCCACACUUGCCCCGCCCAGGGCCGGGGAUCGAGCUGCAACCAAGCCAACAGGAAGAGAAACCUGAGAAUUGUGUUGCUGUGUGGUUUUGACUCUGAGAUCCAUUCAGACAAACCUUCACCAGAGCAUGAGCGGUGAGCUGAAGCCUCCGUCUUCCUCCUCCGCCGCCUUCGGGUCUGCCAGGGAGAGAGCAGAGCGUCAGCGGCCACAGCAGGAGGCCUGGGGAGCCUGGAAUAUGCACACCAUCGCGAAGCCAACGGCAUCCAGAACUGGGAUUAUCUCCACUGACAGGCAA